AUGAGGGUGAAGGUGAUAUCGCGCUCGACCGACGACUUCACGCGCGAGCGCAGCCAGGACCUGCAGAAAGUAUUCCGCAAUUAUGAUCCAGCACUCCGUAGUCAAGAGAAAGCUGUUGAGUACACUCGAGCACUUAAUGCUGCAAAGUUAGAGAAGAUAUUUGCCAGGCCGUUUAUUGGAGCAAUGGAUGGUCACAUUGAUGCUGUUUCGUGCAUGGCGAAGAACUCCAAUUAUGUGAAAGCUAUGUUUUCUGGCUCGAUGGAUGGGGAUAUUCGACUAUGGGACAUUGCUGCAAGGAAGACAGUCUGCCAGUUCCCUGGACACCAGGGUGCUGUGAGAGGUUUGGCAACAUCUACCGAUGGCGAUCUUCUGGUAUCCUGUGGUGUUGAUUGCACUGUUCGACUCUGGAAAGAUCCUAUGCGUAAGAUGAUGGACUCUAAUGAUGCUAUUGGAGAUGCUUCCCAGCCGUCAGCAGUCUAUACAUGGAAGCAUGCAUUUUGGGGUGUUGACCACCAGUGGGAUCGUAAUGUUUUCGCAACUGUAGGUGCUCAGGUAGAUAUAUGGGACCAUAACAGGUCGGAGCCAAUAAAUACCUUUGAAUGGGGUAAAGAUACAGUUCUUUCUGUGCGGUUUAAUCCUGGAGAACCUGAUGUUUUACUUACAUCAUCUAGUGAUCGGAGUUUAACACUUUUUGACCUGCGCAUGUCAUCCCCAGCUAGAAAGUUAAUCAUGAAGACAAGGUGCAAUUCAUUAUGCUGGAACCCUAGGGAGCCCAUGAACUUCACUGCUGCAAACGAAGAUACAAACUGUUAUUCUUUUGAUGCUAGAAAGCUGAAUGAAGCCAAGGUUGUUCACAAGGGUCAUGUUUCAGCAGUGAUGGAUGUUGAUUACAACCCAACAGGACGGGAAUUUGUUACUGGUUCCUACGAUAGAACGGUACGAAUCUUCAAUUAUAAUGGUGAUCAUAGCAGGGAGAUAUACCAUACUAAGAGGAUGCAAAGGGUGUUUUGUGUGAAAUACACAUAUGAUGGGACCUAUCUAGUUUCUGGCAGUGAUGAUACAAAUCUUCGACUGUGGAAGUCCAAAGCUUCAGAACAAUUGGGAGUUAUUCUUCCAAGGGAACGCAAAAAGCAAGAAUAUCUAGAUGCUGUCAAGGCACGGUAUAAUCACCUUCCCGAAAUCAGGCGGAUUGACAAACAUAGGCACUUGCCUAAGCCAAUCUACAAGGCAGGCAAGAUAAGGCGCGCCAUGAUUGAUGCAGAAAGCCGGAAAGAAGAAAGAAGGCGAGCGCACAGUGCUCCAGGGAGCAGGACUAUGCAGCCCUUCAGGAAGAGAAGGCUCAUCACAGAAGUUGAGUAG
rnacentral:rRNA from 1 species